CAUCGUGGAACUGGAAUGUGUGACCCAGGUGAUAAGUCCACAGCACAGCACGUCGGGCACGCUCGAUGGCCCUUCCUGCUGCUGCCCUCAACGUGCCGCGUGUGCCAUGGAGACCAACACGGAAGACUUGGGGAAGCUGGGACAACACUAACUCUGCUCCAUGUGGCAUUGAUUGUUAUCAGGACUAUUCUCAGAUACCCUGUGCCAGAACCUGUCAUGAGCGCCUUACUGGUGUUAUUUUAGCUUCACCUCAGUUCCAUUUCACUUACACAGAAACAGGCUCAGAGAGGCUGAGGAAACUUGCUCACGGGUCCAGAGCUCCUGAGCAGCGUGGGCUGGCAUCAAAGUCAGGCCUGUGUGACUCCAAAGCCCUGUUUGGUUUUUUCUUCCAAAGCAGCUCCUGGGCAUGGGUAGAACCAGGUGAGGCAAUGGGUACAGUUGGAAGAGGAGGAGGCUGGGAGGCUGGAGGUUGAGUCAGCUUGCAGCUGCCAUGACCCCAGUGGGUGGUUUAAGGCCUCACUUCCUCCCUGGGUUCCAGGGACCAGAUGAAAUCAAUGGAUUACUAUAGCAUCAUGCCAAUUCGGAGAAUUGUUAUUACCUGAUCGUUCUGAUACAUAGAAAAGGGAGAACGCCCUGUCCCCACGGGGCGCACAGCUUGGGUCCGACCCAGUGUGAUCACCUCCGAACACGGGAGAGCGGUAAAGGCUCUUCAGUGUGCAAACACCGAGGCUGGACGCUGAUACAGUCACCAUUUAGAAAACCGUGUAGUACAGACAAAGCAAGAUUCAUACUCUAAAUUCGUUGCCAAAACUUAGCAGGCCCAGAUUUCAGAAUGAACAGCUGGAGACGUUGCCUUGUUCAGUGUAAAGCAUUGUGGAACUCCACAGAGAAAGGGUACAGGUUAAGGAUAUACGCAUCUUCCAAAAAUAAUUUUGUGAUGAGAGUUCUAUGAUCUCUUAUUAAGGAAAAAAGAAGAGCACUUUUGUGGAUACAUUCUGAACUUUCUGACACUAGCGUUGAAGAGAACAGUCCUUACUGCUCCUAGGGCUGUCGCUGGCAAGAACAAAAUCUAAUUUUUGUGUAUGCUGCUGUGUAUCCUCCAGAGUUUUAAUACUUUCGGCCUGAUUUUUAUUUUUCUUCUUCAGGAAAAAAGGGUCUUUUUCACUUGAACAAGUAUUUGAGUCGGUGUUCACCAUGUUUUCACCUCGUCAACGCUAUUUGUAAAUGUGAUUUUUAAAAAAAUCUGUUGUCACGUGUACAUACAGAAAAGAAAUCUGAAUUCUCCAAUCGAAAUCCUGGGGUGCUCAGGGAGCCAUCAUUUCCAAAAUUGGAGACGGGUUUGGAAAGAAAUUGAUAGAAAUGGCAGGCAGUACAAGAGACGUUCCUUCCAUUUUAUACACUUUUUGACACUGAGGUUUUCAGAGCUACAUUCCUCCAACAGAAUUCAUAAAUUUUGUGUGUCAAACAAUGAAGCUAUGUUGAAGACUCACUAAUGUGAAUGCAACUUUUGCCAAAUUCUUGACAAAUAGGCAUCCACCUGAGGAUAAGACUGGUUGCUGCUGCCUGUGAGCUUUCUUUCCGCCUGUUACCAAGGCCGUGGAGAACAAAGGGGCGAGUCAAGGCCUUAUCAGGGCCUGCCAAGGCUGGUGCCUUAACUGAAGUGCUGAUUCGGAGAGCCGGAAGGAGGCUUAUCGUCGUCAAGGCUGGAGAGUUGGGUGGCUUGCUCAAGGUCACCAUCUGCUUGAGUUCAACCCCAGUUCCCCUUCAGGGCAGGCAGCGCGGUGUGGUGCUUGGAAACCGGAGGGGCCAGGUUCAGGCCCUCCGCCAUUCACUGUGUGACCACAGGUUAAUUUUACCAUUUGUGCAGCAAUUUCUCCAUCCUUCAAGCAGAUGGUUUGCCUGUGCACUUCCUCUGAGGCAGAGAACUAAACGAGGUGAUGAUGUAUGUAGUCUCCCCACCUCCGCCCUGCCUCUGCCUCCAGCCCCUCUUCUGCUCCUUAGCCCUGAGCCUUUUUUUCUCCCUGCGUUGGGUCCUUAGGGAAACUGAAGGUAACUUUUUUCCUUUUGAAAUGAAAGAGACCAUUCAUGGCUUUGCAGUGGUAUCUCACACAUAAAAUGCAUUCUCAGUACGUUUGUUGAUUGGCCCAGACAGAGAUGCUCAAGUAACAGUUGCCACAUGGUUAAUCACCUGUGCACAGGGGUGAAGAAUGUUUCAAAGUCAUAGAUUCACAUUUCAUAUUUAAGCAAAACACUGGCCCUUGAAAAUAAGUUUCUGUUGCUCCGUUUCUUGCAUUUGGAUGCGUUGCUGAGUGGAAGCUAACAGAACACGGGAUCCUGCUGGUAGCCCUUGCAGCAGAUGUAAGUGAAGGCAGAUCAGCCCUCAUUCAUUCAUUCUUGAGGAGCCGCGCGGAAUCCCCUGUCUCCAGAGGAAAGCUAAUGACGGGAAAGGUACGAAGCCCUUCAUGUGUGUGGCCCAGGAACACACAGAACUCUGUUCUGUCUCCCGAGGGGCCGACUGGACAUGGCUGGGCCGGAGGCAUGAAGGAGUCAGCUCCCCUGGGUGGACGCUGCGUGAGGAUGGGGGUGAGAGGGUUCCUGGAUUUGCCGGAGGCAUUCUGUUGCUCUCAGCAGUAUUAGUCUUGGAGCUCCGUGUUCCCUUCCCACCUUACUGCCGCAUGAGAAUUCACAGGCCACUGGCAGGAUGGGAGCCUUCUAGCCAGCCUCCGGAUUGCAGAAAGUAUAAAAAUACAGCUUCAAGACACAUGCCCUAGACUCUGCUCUCAGACUGCCAACCAUAAGCUCCAGCUGGUUCCUUGGACUUUGCACAGGUUCUCUUAUUCGACGCUUGCAAUAACUAUAUGAACAGGAAACAACGAAGGAGCUGAGCUCUGUGACCAGUUUCGAUACCAGCUGAAACCGAAGCAUGAGCAGAUAUGCAAGAGCAAAGAAUCAGAAGAUGCCAGAAGUGAGGUGAGGAAACAGUUUGGGAGUGAACUGACUGGCCAGUGUUCUGGGGCUAGCAACGGAUGAGCUGAUCGAGAUUGGAACCUCAUUCUUCUGACUCCAAGCUCAAGGUGUGUGGGCUUGAGCUCCGAGCCCACAGGAAGCGCCGGCUCCCACUAAGCCUCCAGUUAGGCCAUGAAAUUAAUCAAUGGUCAAUCUAAGAAAGAAAGGGAAAAUUUUAUUCGAG